UGAUCCUGUAACAGGAUGAAAGUGAAAAAUAAAGAAGGGUAUCCCAUCAACUCCUCCAAACGUGUAACACCAACUCUUAGGAUGUUUUGUUUAUGACAUAAGACUUUCUGAUUUAUGAAUUACUGUGUGUACCACAUAUUAUAUAUUAGUGAGGCUUAACAUCUUUCACAGAUUAAAAACUAAUAGAAUUUCGAAUAUGUUCUUCCUACAACCCACUGCAUCAUCUUGCCUGCUUGCUGAAACCACUUUUGAGACUAUCAGCAUAGGAGGUAAAACAUGCUCUUGAGUGUGUAAUGGGUUCCUUACCUCCCCUGCUAAACAAGUGAGAAAAAGAGAGCCAGCAUGGUGACGCCCAUCUUGAGUUCCCAAGAGGCUGCAGCUGGAGGGUGGCUUGAGCCCAUGAGUUCUGGGCCUUAGUGUGCGAUGGCAAUGGGGUGCCGGGGACCACCAGAUUGCUCAAGAAGGGUGAAUCAGCCCAGGUCAGAAAUGAAGUAGGUCAACAACGACGACAAAAA